GAUGAACGCUGGCGGCGUGCCUAAUACAUGCAAGUCGAGCGAACAGACGAGGAGCUUGCUCCUCUGACGUUAGCGGCGGACGGGUGAGUAACACGUGGAUAACCUACCUAUAAGACUGGGAUCACUUCGGGAAACCGGAGCUAAUACCGGAUAAUAUAUUGAACCGCAUGGUUCAAUAGUGAAAGACGGUUUUGCUGUCACUUAUAGAUGGAUCCGCGCCGCAUUAGCUAGUUGGUAAGGUAACGGCUUACCAAGGCGACGAUGCGUAGCCGACCUGAGAGGGUGAUCGGCCACACUGGAACUGAGACACGGGCCAGACUCCUACGGGAGGCAGCAGUAGGGAAUCUUCCGCAAUGGGCGAAAGCCUGACGGAGCAACGCCGCGUGAGUGAUGAAGGUCUUCGGAUCGUAAAACUCUGUUAUUAGGGAAGAACAAAUGUGUAAGGAACUAUGCACGUCUUGACGGUACCUAAGCAGAAAGCCACGGCUAACUACGUG
rnacentral:rRNA from 1 species